rnacentral:rRNA from 1 species
GUUACCUACGGGAGGCAGCAGUGAGGAAUAUUGGUCAAUGGGCGCGAGCCUGAACCAGCCAAGUCGCGUGAGGGAAGACGGUCCUAUGGAUUGUAAACCUCUUUUGUCGGGGAGCAAAAGACGCCACGUGUGGCGUUCCGAGAGUACCCGAAGAAAAAGCAUCGGCUAACUCCGUGCCAGCAGCCGCGGUAAUACGGAGGAUGCGAGCGUUAUCCGGAUUUAUUGGGUUUAAAGGGUGCGCAGGCGGCGUGGCAAGUCAGAUGUGAAAACCCGGGGCCCAACCCCGGGAGUGCAUUUGAAACUGC